UCUAAAGCCUUUCCAUACUGGUGCUCGAUGUUUUCAGUUUGGGGACACCAAAAUUAGUGUACCGCUAAAGACACGUGGUCGACACGUUGUUGACACGUUGUUGACACUUUGUUGACACGUGACCCAAUUACCGGCCUACCAAGUGCCUUUGGCGACCGCUAACAGCAACUGUGGAACAGUGCAGUGCCCUUUUUUGGAGCAACGUACGAGUAGUGCCCAUGGAUUAUGACCCCGCGACCCCAAUCUACGUGGCGGUCCGCAAUUCGCUACUUCAUACUGACUGGCGUCCGGCAUCGUCCCGAAUUUGGCCACAAUCUGCUCUCGGGACCCCUAUAGGGCUCCCUGACCUGCUCCAUCUCCGCCAUCGUCAAUGUACUGCGCAUCCACCCAGGCCAGGACUGCACUUACUUACGGGAAGGAGUAUUUGCAAGAUGGAACCUGGGAACUGGAAGACGACGAAGAGGAAGCGUGGGAAUCCGGCGGCAAUGGCUGGGAUGUAAGUCCAACAUUGCUGGUGCCAGAGUAGCCACUGCUUGCUUAUAAGGGAAUCAUGUGUGUUGCCUUUUUUGCCUUUUCCGACGUCCUCCUCCGACUGUACUCCCGAUCCCAGGACUGAACUUACGGGAAGGAGUGCUUCCAAGAUGGGAGACGAAGAAGAAGAAGCCGCUGAAUCCGGCGGCAAUGGCUGGGAUGCUGCGUUCUCGAGAGGAAGCGUUAUUUCUGCAUUCCAAGAAGGACGGCACAAUGUGUCGGACUGUCCGCUUCGCAUUGAACUGGUCCGAUGAGGCUGCUAUUGCACACACAGUGAGGGAACUCCCAUACGGGAACUCGGAAGUACUGCUACAGUACAGGUAUAUCACCCCGUGACGACCACUUCGAAGUCUGAAAUUGAAGUGUGAAGAUGCUUCAGCAACCCCUUCAUAUUUUUCCAUUGCUUUUAUUGUGCUUU